CGGGACGACCGCGACUUGGCCUUGGCGCGGGCCUUGCCUCCUUGCUUGCCACGGCCGGACAUCACGACAGCGAACACAGAAGGACCUUCGAAACCAGGAAACUGUGCUCCGACGCGCACACCUCACCCUUUUAUAGACAGAGGCCCGAUUGUACGCCCGACGUUCUCAUUGGCUCACACGCGUCCUGACGCCGUGGCCAAUGAGGAGCGUGCGGACACAAUCUCUCAUUUACAUAAGCCCGGCUCCCUCGUCCCGGCAACGCCUUGGAACGCGCGAAUCACGACGCGCGUGCUCCGCGGCCUCAUUUGCGUGCGGCCGUAGUUGCGACACUGGGCGGGUCCCCCCGCCUGAUCGCGGUUUCUGCUGGUCAGGAAGCUGUGUAAGUGCGCAGUGGCUCCAAGAAGACCUGAGUCAAGCAUCUACUUACUUAUGUGGAGAUAUUCCUUUAAGGAAUGCUGGAAACUUAGUUUUUGAUACCUAGGAAGUAGCGGACUGAUAUUUAUGUGCAUCCGAGGAGUCAUACAUCUGAGAAAUGGAUCAAGGGUUCAGCAAAGACUACACAAACCCUGCAGUCACGGACUGACUGAACACAGAACGUGGGAAUGGCAUCCUAUCACCUUAAAAGGCCCAUCUCUAGGGUGAUUCUGGGUCUCAAGUUGGCCGUUGAGAUGAACAAGUAUUGGAAGACACACUAAGAGAAUCAGAACUGAUCUUCUCUGAGUUCAGCUCAGCCUUUGGACUCUGGCAGUCUCUGCUUGGAAGCUACCACCUGGGGAGCUAAGACAAAAGCUCUCUGCAGACUGUCAGUUCUUCCUUGGAGCAGCAGCCUGGAAAUUCACAGAGAUAUGGACACUCCAAGUUGCUGGGGACCUUGGUGCCUGACUUCUUCAGCAGUGUUUAUGAUGCACGUGGUUACUUGGAGCAGUAAUACCGAAGGUGGCCUGGGCCCCAAUCUGCAGGGACUAUGUGGGGAGGAGUGCGCUGAAACCGCGGAAGGAGCAAUGACAGGAGCCAAAGGAGCAGGCAGAGCUGACUCAAGAGCAGCAGAGGCAGGUGGGAGAGACACUGCAGGUAAGUGGACAAAGGAAAAAAAACCGAAACUAAGACAAACAAAACAAAGAACAAUGUUUGUGUGGCCAAACAAUUCUGGUCGAAUUUCUUCUGUACUGCUUAAGACCUCGUAUAUAACUAGGAAAGCACUACCACUGACCUACACCCUAGAAUAUGCCAAACUACAACGAAAUAGCAUACAAUCAAAGCACCAAUAUAUCGUAAGUCUUGUGACCUGGAACAGGAAAUUUAGUCUCGGUGUGUAAACUGAAAAAUAACCAAAGAUUUAAGUUAUCCGUCUAAAUGUUCUCAAAGCAAUUUCUGACCAAAAAGACAAGUUACUUCACAGACGACCCCAAUGUUGAUACGUCAAUAAAGGACUGCUUAGUGCUUUCCUCCAUUCUGACAAUAUUAUUAGCAUGAACUUAAUGUCACUCCCGCGCAAAGUCGAAAGGUACUUCUCUACACUUAAGACUCCUCAUUCAAGGGCACACAUAUAACUUCAGUAGAAAUGACUUCUAAUAUAUAUCGGAGAUAGAAGGAAAAAAACCAACCACCAGCAUGCCUCAGAGAGAGGGUGGGUGGUUCAGCACAUCACAGGCUAAGGCCGCCAGGCUCUGCCGGGACUCCUCCCCCGGUAUAUGCACAAAGAUGCAGCUGAGGAAGAACUCACAGCCUGUGCCGGUGACCUAUACCUGUUACACCACUCCCUGUGGCCACGUUUACGCGUGAUGCCGAUCCUCUGGGUGCU